rnacentral:lncRNA from 1 species
GGGGGAGGAGCCAAGAUGGCCGAAUAGGAACAGCUCCGGUCUACAGCUCCCAGCGUGAGCGACGCAGAAGACGGGUGAUUUCUGCAUUUCCAUCUGAGGAUGAUUAACAGCAUUCAAGGUGGUGGCUACACAUCACAUCAGCCUGGAUUCUCAAGUAGGAAGAUACGCAACAGAGCAUCCAGCUGACCUUCACUGGAUAUGUUGUAUGAACAAGAAGUAAACUUCAUGCAGCAAUAUGGUGGGGACGCAUACUACAGCUGAGCUCUGGACAGGAAGUUUUCCAUUUUAUGAGAAACUCAAACCACCAAGAAAACCAGCUUAUCUCACAAAAUAUUUUUAUACUUCUCUAGAACUCAGUAAGAGGCCCUCAACGGAUUGGAUGAUGCCUCUCCACGGUCCACAUCGGUGAGGGUGAUUGUCUUUACUCAGCCUAUUGAUUCAAACACUAAUCUCUUCUGGAAACACUCUCAGACUCACCCAGAAGUAAUGUUUGGCCAGCCAUCGGAGCAUCCUCUGGCUUAGUCAAGUUAACACAUAGAAUUAACCAUCACAGAAGGCAACAGAAAAACCUUUAAAGAAUCAAUAGAAAAUAUGUGCAUCAGAAAAUAUUGCUGGCUUACCCAAAAGCUAUUUCCCUUUUGUUCCUUACUAACAACUCUUACUUUGUUUAUAUUUGAGGAAGUAAUGUACUUAAGGAAGUUUUGUCUCUAACCCAGCAUUCAAGAAUGCGAAGACAAUCACGUUAAUCCCAUUUCCUCUACCAGUGAUUGGUGUGGAGGUGGGCAUAUCACUCACUUAUAACCAAAAGGUCCUGAGGGGGACUUACUAAGAACUUUUCAGAAAGGUUUUUCUCCAUGAUUAAAAGAAAAAUUGUAAAGGAAACAUCCCUUUCCUGUUUGAAUUCACUUGUGUGAGGACGUGAUGCUUGUAUCUAUGGCAACCAUUCUGUAACCAUGAGAUGAAAGCUAAAAGAAUCACAGAGAAGCUGACCCAAAACCCAGACAACUACAUUGCUGAAUCAGCAAACCUCAGAACUAUUUAUUUCCAGAUUUGUGUUGUAUGAAUAAUGAAUUCUUGUUUUUAGGCUCUAGUAAAUAUUCCAUUUCUUAGAGCAAACAGCAUUCUCAUGGAUAAAAUAUUUAUGAAUAACAUCCAUCUGUUUCCCUUUUAUUCAAUAUUUCAAGGUUAUUGAAAUUAUUAUAAAUAAAAUCAUUAAUAUUAUUUUUAAUCUACAUUUUUAUUUAGGUAUAACUAUAAAUUAGGCAUAACAAUUGAUAGCAUCUGAUAGACAUGAUUAGAGUUCAUGGGAAUAUACAGCUAAAUCUUUACAAAGGUCAUUAUAGCAGGUCAUUUUACAAUGUCUAGAGUCUUUACCAUCUCAUUUAUAUUUUCUCAUUUGAC